AACGAACGCUGGCGGCAUGCCUAACACAUGCAAGUCGAACGAGGCCUUCGGGUCUAGUGGCGCACGGGUGCGUAACGCGUGGGAACCUGCCCUUAGGUUCGGAAUAACUCUCCGAAAGGGGUGCUAAUACCGGAUAAUGUCUUCGGACCAAAGAUUUAUCGCCUUUGGAUGGGCCCGCGUUGGAUUAGCUAGUUGGUAGGGUAAAAGCCUACCAAGGCGACGAUCCAUAGCUGGUCUGAGAGGAUGAUCAGCCACACUGGGACUGAGACACGGCCCAGACUCCUACGGGAGGCAGCAGUGGGGAAUAUUGGACAAUGGGCGAAAGCCUGAUCCAGCAAGGCCGCGUGAGUGAUGAAGGCCUUAGGGUUGUAAAGCUCUUUUACCCGGGAUGAUAAUGACAGUACCGGGAGAAUAAGCUCCGGCUAACUCCGUG
rnacentral:rRNA from 1 species